AGAACAGUUUCGUUUUGGUAUUUAACAUUCUGUCCUGUUCUUUUUGAAAUUUCAAUCUCAAACAUAAUCCGACGCCGGAGUUCUCUGCCAUCACCCGGGGCCGACCGGCCCCUGCUGUGGCUCUGGCAGCCUGUGGAGAAACUACAUUGGUUUUCUGCUGCUCCAUAACAAGUUACCAGAAACCCAGUGGCUGAAGAUAACAUGCGUUGAUUAUUUCAGCUUCUGUGGGGUAGGAGUUGGGGUGUGACUUAUCUGGGUCCUCUCCCUGGGGUCUUACAAGGCUGCAUCAAGGUGCCAGCUGGGGCUGUCAUCUCACUUAAGGCUAGGGUCCUCUUCCACAUUCCCUGGGUGUUGACAGAACUUGGGUCCUUGCGGUUAGACAGCCGAAGCCCUCAGCUCCUAGGGGGCUGCCCACCAAUCCCUGCUGGGUGGUCCUCUCCACAGCCUGACCCUCUGCUUCUUCAAGGCCAAAGGGAAGGCAUCUGUUUCUCUGACUGCUAGACCUUCUUUUAAAGAGAUCACCUGAUUAGGUCAGGCCCACUCAGGAUCGUUUCCCUUUUGACUGACUUAAACUCAGCUGACUGGGGGCUGUCAUGAUGUCUGUAGGAUGUGUUGUCUUUAUUCUCAUUUGGUAAUCCCAUGUGCCUCCCCUCUUUGACCCCUGCAGGCAGGUCCUGGAUGGUGGGAGACGUGGCUCUGUUCCUUCUGUUCCUUCUCCCAACCCUCAUCAAAGACCAUCCACCGCACAGCUUCCAGAUGUUCCCGCUCCAGGGAGAGGGUUUUGGGGAAAUGUAAGGGCAGGUUACCAAAUCUGUUGGCCAAGCAGAUGCCCAUACAGAAGGUGAAAUCUCAGGCUCCCCUUUUUGAAGGAGGUGACUGGAGCCAACUAUUGGAGGAUCUGUGAAAUUACAGUUUUCAGCUUUGGCCUUGGCUGUGCAAUUCUGGGACAAUGGGAAAAUUUUCACUAAGCAUCAGUGCCUGGCAGAUAGUUAUAGUUAGUGCUCAGUAAAUGCUAACUGACAUUCUUGCUCACAACUCAACCCAAAUAGUCCUAUGUUUAGAAGCAAGGCAGAAGAUCAGAGUAGACCAAGAGCAGGGCUGAGGACGACAAGCCCUGGGACUCCCUUCAGUUCUUCCAGGCCAGGAAUGUGCUUGUUCUCCAAGCCCGGGUUCAGCGUGAGUUCACGCGAGAGCAGGACAAAGGCCUGAUGCAGACAAACGAGGUAAACUUGGAAGCCAUAAGGUUGAAGACGGCGGAGCUAAAACAAGAAAGGAGGCUGGAUCCCUGAGUCACCUUGUGGAAGGCUGCCUGCCUACCAGGAAUGCUACAUUUAACAUGGGGUAUGACUUAUGUGGGUCCUCUCCUUGGGUCUCACAAGGCUGACAUGUGAGUGAGAAACAGAUUUUUAUUGUGUUAAGACAUUGAAGGUAUGGGAUAUGUUUCUUACAUCAGUUGAUAUCGCCUUAACCAAUAUACCAGUUUGCACUGUGAAUGAGAAAAUGAGUCUGCAUCCACAAUGUCCAUGCUUUAAGAGCUUCUAGGAGUUUUAGGAGUUUAUUUGCCAUGCUCUAUAAAGUCUGCACAAUGUUUUAAUUCCACUUCACAGAAAGGUUUUCUUUCCAAACCCUCUUCAGGGGCCUUCCCUAUUAAAAAAGCCCAUUUAUAGAAACUACUACUUAGCAUUUUUGGAACUUGUUAUCCUAUUCAGCAGAGUCUAAGUCAGGAGGCUUUGAACUCGGACAAUUACUGCUCUUGAUUAACAACAAGAACUGAUGAGUUGGCCUUUCUAGUGUGCUAAGCAAACUCAGCCAAGCAGAAAAUAUCACUGAAGGGGAAACAACGGGAAGUGAUUUUCUUGGUUGCAUUAUGCGCCGUCGCGAUAUUUACACAUGUUUGUGGAUAAUGUGGGAACCUCUGCUGCUUGCAUGCCCUUCCAGAUGACACCACUGGGCUUGAAACGCCAUGUUUCCCACCUGACCUGGGCUGUAAAUGUCAUCCUGUGACUGCAGGCAGCCAGCCCCAGGGAAAAACCACAGCACUGGGAGUGGUCAGGCCCCUUGCAGGAUCCCCACUCCAACCCUUUCAAGUUCUAGCCCCUCCAGGUACCCUGGGGCCAGCACCUAGGCCUAGAGAUUUGUUUGUUUGUUUGUUUUUUAGAGAUAGGGUCUUGCUAUGUUGCCCUGGCUGAUCUGAAACUCUGGGCCUCAAGCAGUCCACUCACCUUAGCCUCCUGAGUAGCUGGGAUCACAGGCAUGAACCACCCAACCCAGCUGGGGUUAGAGAGUAACAGCAGCCUUGGCCUCAUAUUGUAAGACAGCUCAGUGGCCGGAUAGAUGGGUGUUCAUUUCUUCUCGCCCUCGCCAGCACUAGGUGUUUUUAAAAAAUGAUUUUUGUGAAGUCAAAUAGUGUUUUCAGUGUCGGAUUGAACAUUGUGCUCAUUUAUGAGUGUUCUGUGGAUACCUUUACCCAUGUCUCUAUUGAGGGUGGUAGGAUUUUUCAUAAAAUUGCAUGCACAUUUUUCAUGUAUUAAAGGCAUUAUGCCUUUUCACAUUCUUUAGAUUUUUCCAACUUCUUUAUCUUUGUAUUUUGUUAAAUGUUUUUGGAUACAUAAAACUAAAAAAAGAAAAUCAUAAGAUUAAAUAUUUCAAUCUUGUCCUUUGAGACUUUUCCAUCUUUUUAAGCUUAUAAAGUCAUAUUUCAUAUGGAAGUUUGAAAUAUAUUCAUCUAUAACCCCAUUCAUUCUAUUUAAAACUUUUUAAAGAAACUCUUGGCUCCACUAGGAAUUUUUUUGGAUGGAAGGUAUGAGGUAAGGAUCUUCCUGGGGGCCACAUUUGGGAGUUCAGAUCUGAGGGGCAGAAGCCUCUGGCUUUGGACAAACAGGGGCAGGUGUCACUGGGGUUAGGGGUGGCAUAGCACGGGCAGAGGUAGUGUUGAUGGGUGAAGAGCAGGUCCCAGCUGGGACUGCUCUCAGGAUCUGGGGGUCUCCUUCUUCUCAAAUGGUGUCAUGGACUAAAUUGUGUCACCCCCACAUUUAUAUGUUGAAGUCCUAACCCUCAGUACCUUAGAAUGUGACUGUAUUUGGAGACUGGGUCUUUGAGAGGUAAUGAAGUUAAAAUGAGGUCUUUAGGGUGGGCCCUAAUCCAGGGUGACUGAUGCCUGUGUAAGAAGAGAUUAGGACACAGACGCAUCCAGAGGGAAGGAGGUGUGAAGACACAGAGAGAAGGCUGAGAAGUAACCAACCCUGCCUGACACCUUCAUCUUGGACUUCCAGCCCCAGAAUUUCGAGAAAAUAAAUUGUUUCGGCCACCCAGUGUGUGUUCCUGUGCUCUGUACCCUAACAGACUCACACAGGCAGGUUCUUUGCUAAACGUCCUCAGAGCUGGUCUGUAGUGGAGCUUGCAGAGGCCCCCAUCACGAUCUGCU
rnacentral:lncRNA from 10 species